rnacentral:rRNA from 1 species
GGUUUUUGAAGAGUUUUAAAACCUUUGGGNUUCAAAUAUUUUCACUUUUUGAACGUAUUUUCUCGUACGGUAGGUUAACAUCGAUUUUGAACAUUAUAAAAUGAUCGGAGGAAUGUAGCUUCGAUCUCGUAUUGAAGUGUUAUAGCCUUUGGUAGAUGUAAUGAUCGAGAUCGAGGAUUGCAACGAAUACCCUUUUGGGCUAUCCGUNUGAUCUUUGAUACGUUGCCUCGGUAACGA